AUGGCCUCCUCACUGUUUUAUGUUCUAAUGGU
rnacentral:piRNA from 1 species